GCGUGCCUAAUACAUGCAAGUAGAACGCUGAAGAGAGGAGCUUGCUCUUCUUGGAUGAGUUGCGAACGGGUGAGUAACGCGUAGGUAACCUGCCUUGUAGCGGGGGAUAACUAUUGGAAACGAUAGCUAAUACCGCAUAACAAUGGAUGACCCAUGUCAUUUAUUUGAAAGGGGCAAAUGCUCCACUACAAGAUGGACCUGCGUUGUAUUAGCUAGUAGGUGAGGUAACGGCUCACCUAGGCGACGAUACAUAGCCGACCUGAGAGGGGGAUCGGCCACACUGGGACUGAGACACGGCCCAGACUCCUACGGGAGGCAGCAGUAGGGAAUCUUCGGCAAUGGGGGCAACCCUGACCGAGCAACGCCGCGUGAGUGAAGAAGGUUUUCGGAUCGUAAAGCUCUGUUGUAAGUCAAGAACGAGUGUGAGAGUGGAAAGUUCACACUGUGACGGUAGCUUACCAGAAAGGGACGGCUAACUACGUGCCAGCAGCCGCGGUAAUACGUAGGUCCCGAGCGUUGUCCGGAUUUAUUGGGCGUAAAGCGAGCGCAGGCGGUUUGAUAAGUCUGAAGUUAAAGGCUGUGGCUCAACCAUAGUUCGCUUUGGAAACUGUCAAACUUGAGUGCAGAAGGGGAGAGUGGAAUUCCAUGUGUAGCGGUGAAAUGCAUAGAUAUAUGGAGGAACACCGGUGGCGAAAGCGGCUCUCUGGUCUGUAACUGACGCUGAGGCUCGAAAGCGUGGAGAGCGAACAGGAUUAGAUACCCUGGUAGUCCACGCCGUAAACGAUGAGUGCUAGGUGUUGGAUCCUUUCCGGGAUUCAGUGCCGCAGCUAACGCAUUAAGCACUCCGCCUGGGGAGUACGACCGCAAGGUUGAAACUCAAAGGAAUUGACGGGGGCCCGCACAAGCGGUGGAGCAUGUGGUUUAAUUCGAAGCAACGCGAAGAACCUUACCAGGUCUUGACAUCCCGAUGCUAUUUCUAGAGAUAGAAAGUUACUUCGGUACAUCGGUGACAGGUGGUGCAUGGUUGUCGUCAGCUCGUGUCGUGAGAUGUUGGGUUAAGUCCCGCAACGAGCGCAACCCCUAUUGUUAGUUGCCAUCAUUCAGUUGGGCACUCUAGCGAGACUGCCGGUAAUAAACCGGAGGAAGGUGGGGAUGACGUCAAAUCAUCAUGCCCCUUAUGACCUGGGCUACACACGUGCUACAAUGGUUGGUACAACGAGUUGCGAGUCGGUGACGGCAAGCUAAUCUCUUAAAGCCAAUCUCAGUUCGGAUUGUAGGCUGCAACUCGCCUACAUGAAGUCGGAAUCGCUAGUAAUCGCGGAUCAGCACGCCGCGGUGAAUACGUUCCCGGGCCUUGUACACACCGCCCGUCACACCACGAGAGUUUGUAACACCCGAAGUCGGUGAGGUAACCUUUUGGAGCCAGCCGCCUAAGGUGGGAUAGAUGAUUGGGGUGAAG
rnacentral:rRNA from 1 species